rnacentral:misc_RNA from 1 species
AAGGAUCAUUACUGAAGUGAUUUGGGGAUGUUGCUGACCUCUUCUCAGAGGCAAUGUGCACUCCCUGAUCAACUCACAAUUUCCAUCACACCCUUGUGCACAUCUUGUAGGUGCCCUCUCACCUCUUAUUGGUCUGGGCAUCCUAUGUAUUCCUUCAUCUCACACUUUUUGAAUGGUGCUCUUGAACGCAUCUUAUGGAUUAUUUGUAAAAAGUAAUCACAGAAACAACUUUCAACAAUGGAUCUCUUGGCUCUC